AAAACUUGAAGAAAAAAGUUGUGCAAGUUUUUUUUUUCAGACUAAGAUUGAAUCGAUGGGAAAUGAAACCUCUCGAUCAGAAGCCGACAAAGAUGAUGCAGACUGCAAAAUUACCUCCCAAUGAAGGACGAACAGGAUGUGGCUCCGAAAUAUGACGUUGAACAUGACAACUGUAUAGCGCUAAUGGCGAUGAAGAAUUGGUGGGAUCCCGAUAAGUAUGUAGCGCUCAAGAGGGAUAAACUCAGAGAGAUGCUCAAGCCCAACACCCGAGAUGUGGCUCGGACAUAAGAUGAUCCAACGUUUAUAAUGAUGAAGAAUGGGGAGAAUGUUGGUAAGGUUAUAGGAGCCAACAAGGAUGAACUCAAGGGCACGAUAGAGAAGCUCGAGGCCUAAUACUAAAUAAUUAGUUUAUAUUAUACUAUAUAUCCCAAGAAAGUACAGAAAAAUGAUGUUGAGGCACUAGUCUCCAUGGAUUAUAUCUCUAAAUAAGAUCUUAUGUAUCCAUUAUAUUACAUCUCUAGAUAAGAUCUCAUGUUUGCCUACAAAAUAUUACAUCUCUAGAUAAGAUCUCAUGUUUGCCUACAA